UGCGUAGGUGGCGCCGUAAGUGGGGUGUGAAAUUUCGGAGCUUAACUCCGAAACUGCAUUCCAUACUGCGGUGCUUGAGGACUGGAGAGGAGACUGGAAUUCAUGGUGUAGCAGUGAAAUGCGUAGAGAUCAUGAGGAAGACCAGUGGCGAAGGCGGGUCUCUGGACAGUUCCUGACACUGAGGACAAGGCUAGGGGAGCGAACG
rnacentral:rRNA from 1 species